GAACAUUUCCCAUGAUUCCAUGAGGCA
rnacentral:piRNA from 1 species